rnacentral:rRNA from 1 species
GACGAACGCUGGCGGCGUGCCUAAUACAUGCAAGUCGUACGCUUCUUUUUCCACCGGAGCUUGCUCCACCGGAAAAAGAAGAGUGGCGAACGGGUGAGUAACACGUGGGUAACCUGCCCAUCAGAAGGGGAUAACACUUGGAAACAGGUGCUAAUACCGUAUAACAAUCGAAACCGCAUGGUUUUGAUUUGAAAGGCGCUUUCGGGUGUCGCUGAUGGAUGGACCCGCGGUGCAUUAGCUAGUUGGUGAGGUAACGGCUCACCAAGGCCACGAUGCAUAGCCGACCUGAGAGGGUGAUCGGCCACAUUGGGACUGAGACACGGCCCAAACUCCUACGGGAGGCAGCAGUAGGGAAUCUUCGGCAAUGGACGAAAGUCUGACCGAGCAACGCCGCGUGAGUGAAGAAGGUUUUCGGAUCGUAAAACUCUGUUGUUAGAGAAGAACAAGGAUGAGAGUAACUGUUCAUCCCUUGACGGUAUCUAACCAGAAAGCCACGGCUAACUACGUGCCAGCAGCCGCGGUAAUACGUAGGUGGCAAGCGUUGUCCGGAUUUAUUGGGCGUAAAGCGAGCGCAGGCGGUUUCUUAAGUCUGAUGUGAAAGCCCCCGGCUCAACCGGGGAGGGUCAUUGGAAACUGGGAGACUUGAGUGCAGAAGAGGAGAGUGGAAUUCCAUGUGUAGCGGUGAAAUGCGUAGAUAUAUGGAGGAACACCAGUGGCGAAGGCGGCUCUCUGGUCUGUAACUGACGCUGAGGCUCGAAAGCGUGGGGAGCAAACAGGAUUAGAUACCCUGGUAGUCCACGCCGUAAACGAUGAGUGCUAAGUGUUGGAGGGUUUCCGCCCUUCAGUGCUGCAGCUAACGCAUUAGGCACUCCGCCUGGGGAGUACGACCGCAAGGUUGAAACUCAAAGGAAUUGACGGGGGCCCGCACAAGCGGUGGAGCAUGUGGUUUAAUUCGAAGCAACGCGAAGAACCUUACCAGGUCUUGACAUCCUUUGACCACUCUAGAGAUAGAGCUUCCCCUUCGAGGGCAAAGUGACAGGUGGUGCAUGGUUGUCGUCAGCUCGUGUCAUGAGAUGUUGGGUUAAGUCCCGCAACGAGCGCAACCCUUAUUGUUAGUUGCCAUCAUUCAGUUGGGCACUCUAGCAAGACUGCCGGUGACAAACCGGAGGAAGGUGGGGAUGACGUCAAAUCAUCAUGCCCCUUAUGACCUGGGCUACACACGUGCUACAAUGGGAAGUACAACGGGUUGCGAAGUCGCGAGGCUAAGCUAAUCUCUUAAAGCUUCUCUCAGUUCGGAUUGCAGGCUGCAACUCGCCUGCAUGAAGCCGGAAUCGCUAGUAAUCGCGGAUCAGCACGCCGCGGUGAAUACGUUCCCGGGCCUUGUACACACCGCCCGUCACACCACGAGAGUUUGUAACACCCGAAGUCGGUGAGGUAACCUUUUGGAGCCAGCCGCCUAAGGUGGGAUAGAUGAUUGGGGUGAAG